GAUGAACGCUGGCGGCGUGCUUAACACAUGCAAGUCGAACGGAAAGGCCUCUGCUUGCAGGGGUACUCGAGUGGCGAACGGGUGAGUAACACGUGGGUGAUCUGCCCUGCACUUCGGGAUAAGCCUGGGAAACUGGGUCUAAUACCGGAUAGGACAAUGGUUUGGAUGCUGUUGUGGAAAGUUUUUCGGUGUGGGAUGAGCUCGCGGCCUAUCAGCUUGUUGGUGGGGUAAUGGCCUACCAAGGCGUCGACGGGUAGCCGGCCGGAGAGGGUGUACGGCCACAUUGGGACGGAGAUACGGCCCAGACUCCUACGGGAGGCAGCAGUGGGGAAUAUUGCACAAUGGGCGCAAGCCUGAUGCAGCGACGCCGCGUGGGGGAUGACGGCCUUCGGGUUGUAAACUCCUUUCGCUAGGGACGAAGCGUUUUUGUGACGGUACCUGGAGAAGAAGCACCGGCUAACUACGUG
rnacentral:rRNA from 1 species